CGCGCCGGCCGCGCUCUGCGCACAAAAGCCAAACGCACCCCACUCUCUCCAUGUGAUUCCUCUUCUUGCUUUGAGAUCGGAGACGACUUUGCCUUGCCCGGGCUGUCCCGGGAUCCCGGCUGGCCCCUGCGGCCCACGUCCCCCGCCUCCUCCCCGCGUCCGGAGGGGUGACCGGUCCUGACCAUCUGAGACGCAGUGGAAAUGUGGUUCUUUGCAUCAUGUACGUUUCUCAUUGAUUUUUGGUUGACGCCUAUUUCCCCCCUUUCAGUAACCGUUCAGGGUGCUGUCUUGGCGGCUUGACACCAGCGAGCGAAAGUUUUAGCCUGGAAAAAAAAAAGAAAAGAAAAAAACGGGGUGAGGGAGGAAGAGGACAGGGAGAAGGUGGAAAGAAGGGAGGGGGGGUGUUUUUUGUUUUUCUUGCAACCACCGUUUUCUAGUUCCAAGUUUUAAAUACAUGGAAGGAAGUCCGGGAGAACCAAAUGAAGGAGCAGGAGGAGAGGAAGAAACUUUUGUUUUUUCCUUUUUUUUUUUCUGCCAGGAGUAGCUGGAAAUUAUGAUCGGGUUCCUUUUCUGCCAGCUUGGAAGGGCAACCCCGUGACUGAUUGCGAUUCCGAGGAUGUCUAUGCAAAGUUGGAUUCUUGUUUCAGUGUAUCCAAUCUGAAGUAUUGCACAUCUGAACUGGGACUGUUAACACUGAUGCCAAUACAGUGUGGGGUGCCAGAAAGUGUCUGCUGAUAUUUGUGGGGGGAAAAAAAUCUAUUUUGUUUACCUACUGUAUCUAAGGGGAGUCUGGGGAAAAACGGUAGUAUUUUUUUUUAUCAGCUGUGAAAAAAAUGUUACAGAUCUGCACAUUUUGUGUGUGUACUAUUGUGUGUGUGCGUGUGUGGUUUUUUUUGUGUGUGUUUUUUUAAGUUUAGCUUUUUAUUCUUAUUGGUUGGCAGUAACGGAUUUUGAUGAGUAGCUCUUUAAAAUACAGUACAAAGACUUAACAAAUGUGAUUCAGGGCCCCCAGCACCCCUGUGUCUGCAGAGUGCCUUCAAAACUCAGCUGUUCCAGCCGGUGCCAACCUGUGAACUUCCCACCCUACCCCAGAAUCUGCUAUUUCCCCAAACCACUUCCCAGUUUCCUUUUAGUAAUCAUCCCCAAGGAGCCAGGACAAUAGGGCCUGUUCUGUGAAUUUCUUCUUUAUUAUUUCCAGCCUUUAAAAUGUAAUUUCCAUGUCUUGCGAUUUUUUUUUUACUUUUUUUUCCUUCAUUUUGUUCAAAUGUUCAGGUAUUUAGCUCCCCUUUUAUAUUAUUUUAAAAUUUUUUUUUGGUUAUCUGUUAAUAGGGUCUUCCUUCAGAAGCAAAGAGCAAAAUUUUACUGUUGUGAUGUACCAAGAGAAUUCUAACCAAUUGUAAUUUUUAAUUCCAGACACACGUGUUUAAUCAUUGUCUCUUCAUUUUAAGACUUUUAAUACAAAUGUCAUUUUUAAAGAAACAAACCCAAAACUAUUGUUUGUGUUUCUGUGUUUCGUAUUCAGUGAUUUAAUACAGUAGCAUGGCUAAGGUGAACAGGUGCAGGUGAUUGGUGGUGCCUGAUGUCCCCAAAGAGCUGGUGGUCAAAUUUUGAAGACGGAAGUAUUUCAUUGGCAAGUUGAGCGACAUCACUCCCAACUUCUUAAAUAUGGGGGAAAUCACCAUGGACUAGGAAGCCCUGGGGUAUGGCCAUAUCAUCUGACUACAAGAUUACUGACUCUUCACCUGGCAUGGAGCAGUUUACCUCACCUCGCAGCUAACAUUGAAUCAUAUCUCAUUCAAGAAAAGAGCCUCUACAGAGAUCUAUUCUACCAUAAUUCUAUAAGAAUGUAUAUUUCAAUAAAAUAUAUUUUAAAAAAUAUAUUUUAGAUAGUUUUGAAUUCAACAUCAUAAGUAGGUAAGAGAAUUUCAGGUAUAUUUCUAAGUCUGAUUUCAACAUCAUUCAUCCUCUAGUAGGAAAAGGCUUGAGUUUGGAGUUCUUUACUCUGAGUUGGUUAUCUUAGCUUUACAUUGUCAUACAUACCCUGUUAACUUUUCUUUCUGUAUAUCAUUCCAUUCAUCCACAUUUGAUUUAUGCAAAUAUUUUUUUCUGUCACGAAUGUAAUCCAUAGUAAUUGGUAAAAAUCCCCAAAAGUGUUUAAUUAAUGGUUAUACAAAUGUGUUCUCCAUGUUACAGUGGAAAGAGAGAAGUAUGUUUCAUAGGGUUUGAGACACAGAUGGGAAUAGAUCAAACCAGUAGGAGAAGAUUGCUCACUAAGCAUGUUACCUGUGGCUUUGGGCAUUGCCUUUGCAUUUCGUUUUUAAAACCUAUAAAGGAAACUUUUACAAAACAAA